rnacentral:rRNA from 1 species
GAUGAACGCUAGCGGCAGGCCUAACACAUGCAAGUCGAGGGCAUUCGCGGUGCAGCAAUGCACUGGCGGCGACCGGCGUACGGGUGCGUAACGCGUAUGCAACCUGCCCCGCACCGGGGGAUAGCCCGCCGAAAGGCGGAUUAAUACCUCAUGGCCCCGGGGGCCCGCAUGGGCAUCCGGGUAAAGCCUUGGCGGUGCGGGAUGGGCAUGCGUGCCAUUAGCUGGCUGGUGGGGUAACGGCCCACCAGGGCAACGAUGGCUAGGGGGUCUGUAGAGGAUGGUCCCCCACACUGGUACUGAGACACGGACCAGACUCCUACGGGAGGCAGCAGUGAGGAAUAUUGGUCAAUGGGGCGGAAGCCUGAACCAGCCAUGCCGCGUGCGGGAUGAAGGCCCUACGGGUUGUAAACCGCUUUUCCCCGGGAAGAAUAAGCCCCCCGCGGGGGGUGAUGCCGGUACCGGGGGAAUAAGGAUCGGCUAACUCCGUG